rnacentral:rRNA from 1 species
AGCAGUAGCCACGGUAAUACAGAGGGUGCGAGCGUUAAUCGGAUUUACUGGGCGUAAAGCGUGCGUAGGCGGCUUCUUAAGUCGGAUGUGAAAUCCCUGAGCUUAACUUAGGAAUUGCAUUCGAUACUGGGAAGCUAGAGUAUGGGAGAGGAUGGUAGAAUUCCAGGUGUAGCGGUGAAAUGCGUAGAGAUCUGGAGGAAUACCGAUGGCGAAGGCAGCCAUCUGGCCUAAUACUGACGCUGAGGUACGAAAGCAUGGGGAGCAAACAGGAUUAGAUACCCCAGUAGUCCCUGUCUCUUAUAA